rnacentral:rRNA from 1 species
AGUGAACGCUGGCGGUAGGCCUAACACAUGCAAGUCGAACGGCAGCACAGUAAGAGCUUGCUCUUACGGGUGGCGAGUGGCGGACGGGUGAGGAAUACAUCGGAAUCUACUUUUUCGUGGGGGAUAACGUAGGGAAACUUACGCUAAUACCGCAUACGACCUACGGGUGAAAGCAGGGGAUCUUCGGACCUUGCGCGAUUGAAUGAGCCGAUGUCGGAUUAGCUAGUUGGCGGGGUAAAGGCCCACCAAGGCGACGAUCCGUAGCUGGUCUGAGAGGAUGAUCAGCCACACUGGAACUGAGACACGGUCCAGACUCCUACGGGAGGCAGCAGUGGGGAAUAUUGGACAAUGGGCGCAAGCCUGAUCCAGCCAUACCGCGUGGGUGAAGAAGGCCUUCGGGUUGUAAAGCCCUUUUGUUGGGAAAAAAAAGCAGCAGGUGAAUACCCCGCUGUUCUGACGGUACCCAAAGAAUAAGCACCGGCUAACUUCGUG